AUUGAACGCUGGCGGCAGGCUUAACACAUGCAAGUCGAGCGGGGUGAUGGUGCUUGCACUAUCACUUAGUGGCUGACGGGUGAGUAAUGCUUAGGAAUCUGCCUAUUAGUUGGGGACAACAUCUCGAAAGGGAUGCUAAUACCGCAUACGUCCUACGCGAGAAAGCAGGGGAUCACGUGUGACAUUGCGCUAAUAGAUGAGCCUAAUUCGUAUUAGCUAGUUGGUGGGGUAAAGGCCUACCAAGGCGACGAUCUGUAGCGGGUCUGAGAGGAUGAUCCGCCACACUGGGACUGAGACACGGCCCAGACUCCUACGGGAGGCAGCAGUGGGGAAUAUUGGACAAUGGGGGGAACCCUGAUCCAGCCAUGCCGCGUGUGUGAAGAAGGCCUUAUGGUUGUAAAGCACUUUAAGCGAGGAGGAGGCUCUUUUGGUUAAUACCCAAGAUGAGUGGACGUUACUCGCAGAAUAAGCACCGGCUAACUCUGUGCCAGCCGCCGCCGUAA
rnacentral:rRNA from 1 species